CAAAAACAAAAAUCUUUUUGUACUUGAAAUCAAGUUUUAAUUAUAAUCAGAAAGAUCUUUAAUGGCAAUUAAAACUCAAAAAUUUACGCACAAAACACAGUAGUAACCAUUUUGUUUCUUUGUUAGCUUGUAUCUUUUACUUUAUUACAUAGGAGUACUUAAUUAGUAUGGGUACUCUUUAAUCUUUUCAAAAAUAGCAGAAAAGUGAACAAAGUAAAAAAAAAAAAAAUAAGACUACAACCCGAAUUUCCAAUUUCUUCAAGACCCAAAAGUUGAAAAUUCCAAACCCUUCCCCCCAAAAGCUAUCCAUGAAAAUUUCCCCCCUCCUUGGCAACUUUAACCAGCCAGCCCUAAGGUGUCCCUCCUCUCUCGGCAAACAUAAAUCUUCAAGGUGGAUAAGCUUGUUUGAAGUUGAACCCUGUGUGAGUACAAUGUGAUUCCCCUGGUCAUUGCAUUUAAUAUUCACGUUAUCUUCCUGUCAAUGGAAGGGACCUCGUUGAGUUGGCUGAACUUCAAGAUUCUUUGUUAUAGCUGCAUAAUUGCUUAAGAGAGCAGAUGAGUUGGUGAGACACAGUAACCUUGAUCAUCAGUGGAUAUAGGAAGGUCGCAGUCCUGCUGAAUCAGGAGGUUUCAAUGAUGUUUCUUGGUGAGAUGAUUGAUGGAGUAUCAUAAGAUAUUAUUUACUGCUCACUUUCUCUUGAACGUUCACAAGAAACAAUGCCUUCCAUGCAUUUGACACAAUCUACUAAUGGCUCUCAACUUGCCAUAGCAAGAACUCUCUUCGUGUAGGUUAUUCACCAGAGACCUGGUACUGGAAAAGCAUCGGAGCACUUCUCGAGUUUCACUUCUCUUCAACGUCCACUGAUGACUACUAUCACUAUCCAGUCUCACAUUAACUAACUUUUCUCUUCAAAUUUUUUUAUCCAUGUUGUAGAAGAGCUAUUAUAUUGUGGAUUUGCGGGGACAUGAUGAAACUAUUCUUUCUCUUGUAAAAGCGUACAGAUAUUCUGGAGUAGAAAUAGAACAACAUUUUAUUAUUUUAAUUCAUCUUGAAUGAUAUUGUUGAACCUUUAAUUGUAUUUUCUUACUAAUGUAUAGCAUUUAUUAAA